UACGGAGGAUGCGAGCGUUAUCCGGAUUUAUUGGGUUUAAAGGGUGCGUAGGCGGGCUUUUAAGUCAGCGGUAAAAAUUCGGGGCUCAACCCCGUCCGGCCGUUGAAACUGGGGGUCUUGAGUGGGCGAGAAGAAGGCGGAAUGCGUGGUGUAGCGGUGAAAUGCAUAGAUAUCACGCAGAACCCCGACUGCGAAGGCAGCCUUCCGGCGCCCUACUGACGCUGAGGCACGAAAGUGCGGGGAUCGAACAGG
rnacentral:rRNA from 1 species